rnacentral:rRNA from 1 species
GACGAACGCUGGCGGCGUGCUUAACACAUGCAAGUCGAACGGAAAGGCCCUGCUUUUGUGGGGUGCUCGAGUGGCGAACGGGUGAGUAACACGUGAGUAACCUGCCCUUGACUUUGGGGUAACUUCAGGAAACUGGGGCUAAUACCGGAUAGGAGCUCCUGCUGCAUGGUGGGGGUUGGAAAGUUUCGGCGGUUGGGGAUGGACUCGCGGCUUAUCAGCUUGUUGGUGGGGUAGUGGCUUACCAAGGCUUUGACGGGUAGCCGGCCUGAGAGGGUGACCGGCCACAUUGGGACUGAGAUACGGCCCAGAGUCCUACGGGAGGCAGCAGUGGGGAAUAUUGCACAAUGGGCGGAAGCCUGAUGCAGCAACGCCGCGUGCGGGAUGACGGCCUUCGGGUUGUAAACCGCUUUCGCCUGUGACGAAGCGUGAGUGACGGUAAUGGGUAAAGAAGCACCGGCUAACUACGUG